CGUUAGCGGCGGACGGGUGAGUAACACGUGGAUAACCUACCUAUAAGACUGGGAUAACUUCGGGAAACCGGAGCUAAUACCGGAUAAUAUAUUGAACCGUAUGGUUCAAUAGUGAAAGACGGUUUUGCUGUCACUUAUAGAUGGAUCCGCGCCGCAUUAGCUAGUUGGUAAGGUAACGGCUUACCAAGGCAACGAUGCGUAGCCGACCUGAGAGGGUGAUCGGCCACACUGGAACUGAGACACGGUCCAG
rnacentral:rRNA from 1 species